ensembl:lncRNA
UGGCUGCAUGGAUAUGUGGAAAUACUGCGUACUGGGGGCUUGGUUCGGGGACCAAAGGGAAAUCUCCAAUGAGAACUGAUGUACAGCUGCCACACAGGUUGUGGCCAUGCGGCAGGAGAGAGGCUGGAAAGUAGCAGUGAAUGGGAAGUGAUCUCUGCGUAUUUGCAUCAGGAGAUGUUUACAUGCCCACUCCGGUGGGAGCCAGGUUUCAUGCUGCAUCAGUAGCCUGGCUGCUUAUCAUCAGUUGUGUUUUCCCAAAUGUUGUCUUCCAGCUGAAGCAAUAUUUAGAGCCGGUUUGCAAGAGAAUGAGCUGCCCGUUCUUGCCUCUGUACCUCCAAGAAAUCACUGGGAGCUGAGCAGAUCUGCCAGAUUCUGUAAGAGGAGGAGCUGACUUUUUGUGAGAACAUGCAAAGUAGAGUCAGGCUCGCUACUGUAGGAAGAAAACCACUUGCUGUGCUUUUUUUGCAGGUGCUGUGAGGUUUGCAUGGCUCUUGCUCUUCUAAAGCCUCUGCAUUUCAGCAGCUCAUGAAAAUCUUCCAGGUGGUAUCUUUGAAUAGCCAUUGGGCUGCUGGCAUGGAAAUAAGUUCCCCUGUUUUGCCUACCAAAUGCCCCGUUUCAACAGUCAUUCAGCAGUUUGGGGAGGUGUAAUGCCCUCUCACAGUGGCUUAGAUCUGUGGCAUUCACACUCCCUGUAAAAAGGCUCUUCUUUCCCCUCCAAGUCCACCCUUGAGGACAGUGGCAAGGGACACCGGCCAGAGGGCGCAGAUUUCGGCAUGCAGAGUCACAGGCAUUCCACUAACUUUGGUUGGGCAGGGAAAGGCCAAGCAUGCAGGACACAGCUGUGGCUCAGAUCGUGCAGGAUGAGCACCUAUGUUUCACGGAUGCCCUGCUGGGACCCAUCUGCUCUGCUGUGGGGCCCACAGGACCUGCAAGACGCUGAGGCCUGUGUUGUGUGAAGAUGGGUUUUGCUUGCUGGAGCUCUGGUUCAUCCCUCUUUGCAGCUAGUGGUGAAUUCUGACACCUGAUAGACAAUGAUAACAAUGGAUGCAACAAUUUGGAGAUAAUCAUUUUCUGCUUACCUAGGAAGAAUAAUUAUUUAAUUACUUGCUGUUACGUGAACAAAGUGUCCUUGCAAAUAUCUUGCUUUAUUUCAUUAAGUUAUAUGGAAAGAAACAUUUGCUUUCUUUUUUCUUCAUUGCAGACGGAACAACGUUACUCUGGACAUCAUCUUUUUCUAAACAGUGCCUCAGUGGGAUGGAGAGGGGUUGGGUCAUUUUUAGACAAACUGUUAGGAGAUUAAUUCCCCAGCACAUGUAGGAGAGAAUUCUUGCUUGUGUUCUUUGUGGCACUGUUCUUGGUGCUCCACCCAAACAUGGCCAUUAAGUCUUUAGUUGUCCUAUGAUUUAGUGAAUCAUAGGACAGUCGAGUUGUCCUAUGAUUUAGUGAACAGUUUAAUCAGCCUAUCCCUGACAUGUUCUAUGUUACAGUCCUUGCAGAGGGCUGAGCAUCAGUUUCCUCAUGGUCACAAGACAGUGGGAGAGCCAAGGAGGGAAAUACCAGGCUUAGGAGCAAGUAGAUGGGAGGGGUAGAGCAAGAGUGAGAGCACGUGAAGCAGGGGAAGGAGGAGGAGGAGGAGAAAGGCAGUGGAAAGGAAGGGUUAGGCCUGGAGCUGGAAGAAGAUGGGAGCUUUUGCUGGAGGACUGGCUGGGCUGUCUCCUUCAUGGAGAAGAUCUUGAAGAGAUGGACAAAAAAAAAAAAUAAUAAUGCCCAUUAGAGUGUUCCCCCCUCCAAGUCUUGGCCUGGAGUCAAAGACUUUCUGUAACAAGGAAGAUCACUGACUAAACAGUAUUACUGAACAUUAUUAAUCUCGCUACACGAGGGAGUGCAAACUGCUGGGCCUACCUCUGCAAACCCCUGCUACGCUCUGAACAGCACAUCUGCUGCCCCUGCAGGGAGGACCGUGCUAGACUUGGCAAAGAAAACUGUGCUUAAAAUUGCACCUGUGUGUGUGCUGAAGCACAUGCAUGUUCCUGUGUAAAGCACCAGAGAAUGCAAGGUACACCUGGCUACGAAGAGAGCUGUGAGUGCCUUCUGCCAUCAGUGAGCUCAGACGUGCAAGGCGCUGAGGAUGGGUUGGUAGCAGCCAGCACGACAGGCUGCUGCUCCAACUCCACGAGUGACAGCUGUAAAGAGCCU